rnacentral:rRNA from 1 species
UGGGGAAUAUUGGACAAUGGGGGAAACCCUGAUCCAGCGACGCCACGUGGGUGAAGAAGGCCUGCGGGUUGUAAAGCCCUUUCAGUGGGGAAGAAAAGCCUCGAGUUAAUACCUCGGGGUCUUGACGUAACCCAUAGAAGAAGCACCGGCUAACUCUGUGCCAGCAGCCGCGGUAAUACAGAGGGUGCGAGCGUUAAUCGGAAUUACUGGGCGUAAAGCGCGCGUAGGCGGCUUUGCAAGUCGGGUGUGAAAUCCCCAGGCUUAACCUGGGAACUGCAUUCGAGACUGCAUUGCUAGAGUAUGGGAGAGGGAAGUGGAAUUUCCGGUGUAGCGGUGAAAUGCGUAGAUAUCGGAAGGAACAUCAGUGGCGAAAGCGACUUCCUGGACCAAUACUGACGCUCAUGUGCGAAAGCGUGGGGAGCAAACAGGAUUAGAUACCCUGGUAGUCCACGCCAUAAACGAUGAGAACUGGAUGUCGGGAGGGUCUGCCUCUCGGUGUCGUAGCUAACGCGUUAAGUUCUCCGCCUGGGGAGUACGGCCGCAAGGUUGA